UCAUUAGAUACCCUGGUAGUCCACGCCGUAAACGAAGGCUGCAACUCGCCUGCAUGAAGUCGGAAUUGCUAGUAAUCGCGGAUCAGCAUGCCGCGGUGAAUACGUUCCCGGGCCUUGUACACACCGCCCGUCACACCAUGGGAGUCGGUAACACCCGAAGCCGAUAGUCUAACGAAAGAGGACGUCGUCGAAGGUGGGAUUGAUGACUGGGGUGAAGUCGUAACAAGGUAAC
rnacentral:rRNA from 1 species